AGGUCCCCCCCCCACUGACACAGGCUUUCCCAGGGUGGAUUGGCCCUACCUCUCAACCACAUCAGCAUAGAACAUGAAUAAUGCAUAACCUAUUCAGCAUAAUAAGGGUGAAUGCCACACUGCUUUUAUUAGCCAAGCUGGCUAGUAAAUGCAUGUGAUUUUGCUUGCACACAUAUCAAAUACCAACAGGAUUUUGGCCACUGAUUUAUUUAAAGAUGACAACACCCUAUAACAAAUAGAUUUAAUGUGGAUGAAGAUCCCUGACCAACAAGACUAACCAUGCCCAGAACUGAAUCAGCUUGGCAAAGUCAUUAUGACACAUCUUCCAUUUUGACAUCACAGCCCUGCCUGCUUACCUGUCAGAAGGACAGAGCUACCAUGGCAACCCAGAGGACCAGUAUUCAUCUUGAUACUCUAGAUAAACAUGGGUAAAAAAGCUGAGAUGAGUGAUCUCUUUCUUUCAAAAAAUAACUGCAAGAGUAAUACCUUUCCUGGUUUUUAAAGAAGGAAAAGACAAAGGAAAAAAGGGAAGGAUAUCCACUCUCCAACAUCCCUGAAGAAGACAACCCACUCCCCAACAUAUGGCCUCCAAAAGAGUUUUGCCUCUUCAAGACUCUCAAGAAAGGACAAGCCAUGAACAGAGACAGAUAAACAGGAGGCCCUCCCUUUCCUCAGAGGACAGUGGAGAAAAGACAGAACUGAAUAAAACAAUGGAUAUCAUCUUCAGGAAUAUCAAGAACGAGGGUUGUUUUCAAAAGCCUGAUACAAGGGGGAAAGACAAUAAUUUUCCCUUUUGUCUGUACACAUUAACCUUCUGAAAGUGCUUUUCUAAACUGUGAAUUUAUUACUCCUUUAAAAGCUUUCUGUUUUCAUUCCAAGACUGCAAAAGGGCAGGGGCCCAGGUGGAAGACGGAGCACUAAAAAAGCAGAGCUAAAAUACAAUUUUCCCUGCAACUUUACCUGCAUACCAAAUUGUCAGAGGUUACCAUCCCCCAGACGGCAAAGAAGAUUUUCCUGCAGUUGAGAGAAAAGGCCGUUUUCUUCAUUCUAACACCCCCCGUUUUGCUCCCUAUAUAAAAAGCCCAGUGUUAACAUACAUGUUAUGACAACAAGCGGAGUUAUUAAUGUAACUUCUCCUUUGACCUUUAGAAUAAUGAGAAGGAAGAAGAUAAAAGGAAAUUCUCCAUUACUUUCUGUAAACUUAUUUACGGGUUAAUUGUCAGAUAAUUUUUAUGAGUACAUUUUGGUACCUCCACAAUGACUUAAAUAUACAAGUGUGGCAAAUGUAUGCCUCUGCAUGUACACUUGUUAAGAAGCUGUAAUUAGCCAUGUAUCACCUUAUAAUAUAUGAAAUUAAGCUGCAAAGAAAGCCUAUGGCAUUGAAAUUGGACUGUAACACUGAUUAGUGCUUGAAAUGUAGUUAACAGAGCAAAAUAAAAAGUGCAUUUUCACAAUUCA
rnacentral:lncRNA from 1 species